GUAGUUGUUUAUUUAAACCCUGUGAGUUUACCUUACCGUAGUUGUUCAUUUAAACCCUGUGAGGUUACCUUACCGUGAGGUUACCUUACCGUAGUUGUUCAUUUAAACCCUGUGAGGUUACCUUACCGUAGU